rnacentral:rRNA from 1 species
GAUGAACGCUAGCGGCAGGCCUAAUACAUGCAAGUCGAACGGGAUCUGAGGGUAGCUUGCUACCCGAUUUGAGAGUGGCGCACGGGUGCGUAACGCGUGAGCAACCUACCCAUAUCAGGGGGAUAGCCCGAAGAAAUUCGGAUUAACACCGCAUAAUAAUACGCUAACACAUGUUAAUGUAUUUAAAUAUUUAUAGGAUAUGGAUGGGCUCGCGUGACAUUAGCUAGUUGGUAAGGUAACGGCUUACCAAGGCGACGAUGUCUAGGGGCUCUGAGAGGAGAAUCCCCCACACUGGUACUGAGACACGGACCAGACGCAUAGGGGAGGCAGCAGUAAGGAAUAUUGGUCAAUGGGCGUAAGCCUGAACCAGCCAUGCCGCGUGCAGGAUGACUGCCCUAUGGGUUGUAAACUGCUUUUGUUAGGGAAUAAACCUACUUAUGUAUAAGUAGCUGAAUGUACCUAAAGAAUAAGGAUCGGCUAACUCCGUGCCAGCCGCCGCCGUAA